GUUUGGGCGCGUAGACCGAUUGGGAGCGCUCUCCCCCUCGGCCGCGCUCCUGGACCUUCUGCCGCCGCGCUCCUGGACGUCCGCUUCUGCGGCUGCGAUCCAGGUUCUCCGCUUCGGGUCCGACCAGAACCAGCGUCACCGGCGAGCGGGUGCAUGCAGGGGCGGCGGCGGCGGCACUCCAAGACCUCCCCUGCUGCGGCCGCGCACCAGAACCUCCAGGACCGACGCGAACCAGCAUUACUACCUGCUUGUCUCUCAAGCACAUAAGGGAUGCUGUCGUUUUUGCCGCAGUUGAUUCCGUCGGUGGCUAAACUUGUCACUCGUAGUCCAAAUAACAGACAGAACCCACCAGUAACAUCGUCAUCACAAACAUGACCUGUUGGAAGUCGGUGGCAACAAAUGAAGGUUGAGCGGCCGGUCGGUGGUUCCAGAUGGAGGACAGAGCAACCUAGCGGCCUGUCGGCGACAGCAGAUGGAGCGCGGAACGGUACUGUCGUGCCCGUAGUUUGAGAAAGAGUGGCCCGUCGGUGGCGGCAGAUGGAGACGGAGUAUCAAUUAACACACGAUCGUUAAGGAGGCCUCUUGAACAAUCCAAUAAGAUUGAGAUAGUACAUAGGUACUAGAACAAAAGACUUAUACAUUAGAAAAAUCACUAAAAGUAAAAGUAAAAUAAAAAGUACCGCGAAGGUACUAAAUAAAGUAAAAGACCAUAUAUAAAAACCUCUAAAAUUAAACGAAAAG
rnacentral:rRNA from 1 species